rnacentral:rRNA from 1 species
UGGGUUAGUGGCGGACGGGUGAGUAACGCGUGGGUAACCUGCCUUACACAGGGGGAUAACACUUAGAAAUAGGUGCUAAAACCGCAUAAGCGCACAGCUUCGCAUGAAGCGGUGUGAAAAACUACCGGUGGUGUAAGAUGGACCCGCGUCUGAUUAGCUUGUUGGCGGGGUAACGGCCCACCAAGGCGACGAUCAGUAGCCGGCCUGAGAGGGCGGACGGCCACAUUGGGACUGAGACACGGCCCAGACUCCUACGGAAGGCAGCAG